CUCCCAGGCAGGCCUUCUCACGGUGACACAGUAAGCUGAUGCAGGUCUCGCAAAGGCUCCUGUUUCCACCCCUUACCCCAGGUGCUCCCCUUGGCAGCUUUCCGCACCGUAUUUUAAAUUUUUAUUUCUAACGCUGGGGAGUUAACUGAGGGUCUAGGCAAAUGAGUUAUAGCCCUGGCCUUUUUUCUUUCUUUUGAGACAGGGUCUCGCUAAAUUGCCCAGGCUAGCCUUGAACUUGUGCUCCGGCUGUUUCAGCCUCCACUGGGAUUCCAGGACCACACUACCAGGUCUGACUCAAGCUUUCACUAUGCACAGCAGCCAGUGUUACCUGUUAAUCUGGGAGGAUGUUUCCACGAGCAAAAAGUGUGCAAAUCUCACUUCCUUUUAACCUCGUAGGGCUCUGUGAUGUCACCCCACUCUCUAGAUGAAGAAGCUAAGGUGCAAAGAGGUCAUGACCCCACCUUUCUUUUUUUCCUGAAAACACUCCAACCUACCCCAGGCUGCCUGAGUGUCCACAGCUCCCUGGUCCCUUGGGCAGGCCCAUCCUUUGCCUGGAGGAGCUGGGGCCUGUGCCAGGUCACCCUUCCCCAGGGUCCCCAAAUGCCUGGAGAACUUCAAGGUAGCAUCUAUGGUGACUCUAGUACCACCAGUAAAGGAGAUGGCAAUUAAUACAGAGAGCCAAGAUGUCGAUACCCCUCACCCAAGGGUCAGGGAUCAUUUGGGAAGAGCUGGAAAUCCUAUAAGAGCCAGACAGAGCAGAUGUCCAUAGCAAAACAACUUGCCAGACAUGACAGGGCCAUUGCACACACGAAUUCACAGUGGCUGGGGUAGCAUGCGUAAGAAUUCACAGUGGCUGGGGUAGCAUGCGUAAGAAUUCACAGUGGCUGGGGUAGCAUGCGUAAGAAUUCACAGUGGCUGGGGUAGCAUGCGUAAGAACUGCACAAGAACAAGCCAGAAAGACUGCAGCAUGGCAUCACACCCCUAGCUAAGGAGCUACUGGCAACUGAUGGCUGCCAGAGGAGGAGAGUCUGUCCUCGGCAGAGAUGCUGUCCCCUCAGACUCUAGCCUGAACAUCCCGUCCUGUGUUGAUGGCACUGUUUAUGGACAUAAGCUUAUGUGACCUUUAGGAGAUACACACGGCUUUGCUGGAGGAAGUGCAUCACUGGGCUUUGAGGGUUUAUAGCAUUGGUCAACUUCCUGUUCUCACUCUCAACUUCCUGUCUGUGGCUGAGGAGCAGUCUCUCAGCUUCCUGUUCUGGCCUCUGACUGCCAAGCCUCCUAGGCCAUUAUGGACUUUUGCCGUGGAACCAUAACCUCAAAUAAACUCUUCCCUCCAU